ACAGACGCUGGGAGCGGCCGAGGCGAGUGAUUUCUUCUGACUUGAGCCUGCAGUGUGCUGUGAGAGAUCCACCACCAGAUUAUCUCAACUUUAUUCUCCUGGGACCACUCAUUGGUGACAGUCAGAAAGGAGAAAAGGGAAUUUUUAAAAGGAGAAUGAAAGUGUCCUUGUCUCUAGAACUGAAGCAACUUGGAGGAAUGAGUGGUCUUUGUUUAGUGAGUGAGUUCUCGUGAGAUCUGAUGGUUUUAUAAGGGGCUUUUACCCCUUUUGCUCAGCACUUCUCCUUCCUGCCAUCAUGUGAAGAAGGGCAUGUUUGCUUCCCCUUCUACCAUGAUUGUAAGUUUCCUGAGGCCUCCCCAGCCAUGCUGAACUCUCUCUUUCUUUAAAUGAGAUAUGGUGGUGCAUGAUCAAAGCAGGGGACUUGGAGUCUGGUGUGCCUGUAUUCAAAUCUGACUGCACCACUUACUGUCUGCCAGAUCUUGGAUAAAUUAUUUAAUCUCCCUAAACCUCAGUGCCCUCAUCUGUGAAGUGAGGUGAGU
rnacentral:sRNA from 1 species